CUUUUAUAUAAUUAAUAUUGCUAAACUUGUAUGGAAGGGAAGGUUGAAAACCUCACAUGACUAUCUCUGAAACCACUUAUCUGAGGCUUAUGUAGGAAAUCAGAAAAUUGUUCACCUUUGGGGGCAGCCUGGGUCCAAGGACUUUGCUCUUGUUUUUUUUGUUUGUUUGUUUUUGUUUGUUUGUUUUUGUUUGUUUGUUUUUGUUAAAGUCUUCCACAUAAAGGUAAAAUUCCUCUAGCCUUUUCUACAAUGUCAUUCAAGUUUGCUCACCAAAACAAGGCCAGGCUUCUCUAGGUUCAUGCAAAAAUGGAUAGCCACAAUCUUUUAGAAACUAACCUGGGUAAUUGAGGUGUGGUUGCAGCAGAAGGGCCAAGUCAGGUGCUGAUUGGUUGAUUAUAGGCUCAGCACCUGAGAGUUGGAAGGAGCCUUUGUAAUUGUACAGGUCUUUUCAUUUCUCCAUGACCCCAUUCGGGAUUUUCUUGGCAAAAGUGGAAUGGUUUGCCAUUUCCUUCUCCAAUGGAUAAGGCAAAUAGAGGUUAAGUGGCUUGCUCAGGGUCACACAGCUACUGUCUGAGUCUGAAUUUGAACUCAGCCCUUCCUGACUCCUGGCCCAGUACUCUAUUCAUUGAUCCACCCAGCUGCCUCCUGAACUGAGAGGUUAUCUCAUCAAAUCCUUAAUCUUACAGAUUGAGAAACUAAAGCCCAGAGAGGUUAAGCAUUUACUCAAGGUCACCCAAGUGGUGUGGCUUGCCCUGCCCAUCUCUACAGUGACACAGUUCUGCAGCCCUGUGCAACUUCAUAGGAUCAUAGAUUUCAAGCUGGAAGGGACAAACCUAUUCACUGGAUGGAAGCUUGAAGGGACCAUUUUGAGAUGAAGCAGCAGGCUUAGACAAGUUAAAUGACUUGUUUAAAGUUAUGCAGGAAAACGUUGGGGCGCCCUCCUUCCCCGAGCCCGCCCAAAUGACAGAAUGAGAACAUCACACCCCCUCAAGGAACCUCAAGAGGUCAUCUGGUCCAGCCCCCUGCCUCCAGGCAGGUCUACACCUAAAUUGUCCUCGACCGAGCUUUCGGCUCGCCGGUCCCCAUUUGCUCCGAGCGCCCCAGCAGCCGGCACCAAUAUCUCCAGUGUUAAGAAUGUUCUUUUCCAAGACUUCUAGUGCUGUGGUUCCUGAGGAAGUUGGGGAUGCAUCACAUGGAGAAGCAACUACCAAGUCACAUCCCUCUCUAGACCAGAGAUUCUUAACAGGGGUAAAUUUUUGAGGGUCUAUGAACUUGGGAAGGGGAAAAAUUACAUCUUUAUUUCAGCAUGAUU
rnacentral:lncRNA from 1 species